rnacentral:tRNA from 1 species
GCCCCAGUAGCUCAAGGGACAGAGCAACGGUCUUCUAAACCGUUGGUUGCAGGUUCGAGUCCUGCCUGGGGCG